AUUUCAUAUGUGCAUUUCCAUCUGUUUUCAAAUUCAAAUGGUAAAUGGUGACUUUCACCAAAGGAUUAACUAAUGUGGUUUUCUCCAUUUAGUUUUUAAGCGUUCGCAUUCUCGAUGUCGACAUGUCGCAGAGUUACAUCUUGGCCCUUCUCACUUGUGGUUCUACAUCGUGGGUUCUCCAAUCCAGCAUUUCUCCAAGCUUCUCACUCGCAUCUUUGUGGUUUCUUUCUAUUACAGGGAAUAGGGAUGACUCUGGAUCUAUUCCUUCGAUUUAUUUUCUGAUUCAUCAUUGUCCGGGCUUUUCUCCAUAAGAUAGGAUGAGAUUUUUGUGAAGAGCCCUAUACAGUUGACUUACGUUAAUCAAUGUUCGAGUUGAUAUUUCUCAAAAUCUUCAUUUUAAAGGAAGGAUAAUCAUCUUUAAUAUGUGGUGGAAAAGAAAAGGUCUCUCAUAUAUGUUUAUGAUUGGCUUCUAAAGUUCAACAGCCUGUUCCUUGAGAGAAGGUGCAUGAAGAAAGUAUGACCUAUUAAAAUCAUUGCAAAGUUUGAUUUAAACCACCUCGUUAUCCAAUAGUGAGCUUUAUAUGUUGUACUUUUUCCUGUCAGUAUUUACUAUCUCUUUACUUGCAUAACUUUCAUCUAAACUUGUGAUUUUAGUUUCUUAAAUCACUCUUGCCAAAGGUAAAGAGCAGAGACUUAGUCUGUCUUUUGGUGAAAACAACUUUUCGAUCAACAUAUAAUAAACAUUCUUUUCAAGAGCAACUCAUCUCUUCUUUAGCAAUUAAAAUUUCUAAAAUUGUAUGUUGGUAAAAUUUUGCUAGUGCUAUAAGACUCUGGAGGUUUUGGUUUGUUCUACUAUUCUAUUAUUAUUUUAUUUUGAUUUUAGAAUCUUCUUGUUAAUCUUUUACACAGCUCAUGCUUAGUCAGUGCUAUUAUGCACAAAAUAUUCUUGAAUCUUUGACAUUUGACAUGUAUCUGUUGCUGCCUUUAGAGUUUUUAUACAGACCUAUGGAAACCAAUAUGCUUGCAUUGAUGAGCAUAAACUUCUUAUCAAUUGAUCAGUUUUUAAAAAUGGUAGAAAGGCAGCAUCAAGUAUUUUGAUCCAAGUUACCAACAUCAAGCAUUUUGUCCAAAACCUUAACAGUUGAUGUUGACAUGGGAUACAUGGAUGUUCAAACAAUUGAAGAUGUGUUUUGUCAAGUAUGAUCAAUUAUUUCGUCACCUGUAUAUGGACUUUUUUUUUUACUAUGCUUUGCCCUACAAAUGUGUUUAUAACAAUAUAUUCCUAUUUUUAUCAGUAUUACCCAUGUGCCUUCUUUAUAGAUGACAAUAAUGCAAAUGCUUGGAAAAACUGUUCCUAUACUGCUCAUACUAACUCAAAUAUCAGCAGAGGGGGUAGUAGCUGCAUCAUCUGGUUGGGAGAUCUAAAUGAUACAAGACAGGUUUUAGUUGCUGGGCAACAUCUAUAUAUAUUCUGUUGGCUAUUCCUGAAAUAUGUAUGAUCCUUCAUUGAUCAUAUGCUGAUUAUCUUUUAGAAGUCAAUUGUUUGUCUAAUUGUCUUCUCUAUUGUGUUGAACUCAAAUUUUCCAUUACCUGAUGAUAUGUUUGUAUUAGAUUUAAGUUUCAAAGUUUAAUAUUGCUUAUUAGAUUUUACAUCAAUUUUCUUGGUUUUUUUAAAACUUAAUUUACUAAUUGGUGAUUUCCAUCUCGGACAAUAGCUUAGAGUGCUGCACUAUUUA